GACGAACGCUGGCGGCGUGCCUAAUACAUGCAAGUAGAACGCACAGUUUAUACCGUAGCUUGCCACACCAUAGACUGUGAGUUGCGAACGGGUGAGUAACGCGUAGGUAACCUGCCUGGUAGCGGGGGAUAACUAUUGGAAACGAUAGCUAAUACCGCAUAAUAUUGAUUAUUGCAUGAUAAUUGAUUGAAAGAUGCUAUUGCAUCACUACCAGAUGGACUUGCGUUGUAUUAGCUAGUAGGUGAGGUAACGGCUCACCUGGGCGACGAUACAUAGCCGACCUGGGAGGGUGGUCGGCCACACUGGGACGGAGACACGGCCCAGACGCCUUGGGGAGGCAGCAGUAGGGAAUCUUCGGCAAUGGGCGGAAGUCUGACCGAGCAAGGCCGAGUGAGUGAAGAAGGUUGUCGGAUCGUAAAGCUCUGUUGUAAGAGAAGAACGGGUGUGAGGGUGGAAAGUUCACACUGUGACGGUAUCUUACCAGAAAGGGACGGCUAACUACGUG
rnacentral:rRNA from 1 species